CCAUCACACAGAAAAAAAAUAAGAACAAGAUUCUGCUAAAUUCAGAAACUUUGACGCCAAGAACAAUCUAGAAAUAGCAAUUGGAUGAUAUUUGAAAGCACAGAAAAGAAAGGAAGACUGAACAGUUGAAAGCUAAGGACCAAAAAUGAAAGGAAAAAAAAAACUCAACGAGAAUUAUGAUAAGAGGGAAGCAAGGAAACUAACAUAUGAUAUUGUUGGGAUGGUACCAAACACAUGGCUCUGAAAUUAUCGACCUAGAAUCCAAAAACGUGAAGACUGAAAAAUGAACAAAAAGGACCCACAAAAAAAAAGACCAAAAGAAACAACUUGACUAACCAAUAAGAAUUAAUGGGUACUAUUCAUCCAGCCAACUAGUGAGACCAAGUUGUCAAAAAACCUGCAAAGCUUCUAACUUUACUCUGAUAAUUUCAAUGAAACACCAGAAAGAGGAAAGGAGAAGGAAGAUAGUAACAAACUACGUGUAAUUAAUGAAGGACAGCAGCUAUCAAGAAUUCUAAAGAACAGAAGAAAGUAAACAAAAUUGGACCUUUUUAGUGCCGACGCAGGUUUUCUGUGGCUUUUUCCUGGUAUAAGAUAAGGGGUGGAGGAAGAAAACAAAAAAAGGGAAGAGAAGGAGUGAAUUAGUUUGUUUAUGCUUAUGUCAAAGAAUUGGAGAGAUCUGAAGUUGG
rnacentral:lncRNA from 1 species